rnacentral:rRNA from 1 species
UACGGGGGGGGCAAGCGUUGUUCGGAAUUACUGGGCGUAAAGGGCUCGUAGGUGGCCAACUAAGUCAGACGUGAAAUCCCUCGGCUUAACCGGGGAACUGCGUCUGAUACUGGAUGGCUUGAGUUUGGGAGAGGGAUGCGGAAUUCCAGGUGUAGCGGUGAAAUGCGUAGAUAUCUGGAGGAACACCGGUGGCGAAGGCGGCAUCCUGGACCAAUACUGACGCUGAGGUGCGAAAGCGUGGGGAGCAAACAGG